UACAGAGGUCUCAAGCGUUGUUCGGAAUUACUGGGCGUAAAGGGUGCGCAGGCCGCGCGGGCAGUCAAAUGUGUAAUUCAGGGGCUCAACCCCUGCACUGCGCUUGAUACUUCCGCGCUCGAGCUUUGGAGAGGAGUCUGGAAUUCCCGGUGUAGCGGUGAAAUGUGUAGAGAUCGGGAGGAACACCGGUGGCGAAGGCGGGUCUCUGGGCAAUUCCUGACGCUGAGGCGCGAAAGCGUGGGGAGCAAACAGG
rnacentral:rRNA from 1 species